AUUGAACGCUGGCGGCAUGCCUUACACAUGCAAAUCGAACGGUAACAGGUCAAGGGAUGCUGACGAGUGGCGAACGGGUGAGUAAUACAUCGGAACGUGCCUAGUAGUGGGGGAUAACUACUCGAAAGAGUGGCUAAUAUCGCAUGAGAUCUACGGAUGAAAGCAGGGGAUCGCAAGACCUUGUGCUACUAGAGCGGCCGAUGGCAGAUUAGGUAGUUGGUGGGAUAAAAGCUUACCAAGCCGACGAUCUGUAGCUGGUCUGAGAGGACGAUCAGCCACACUGGGACUGAGACACGGCCCAGACUCCUACGGGAGGCAGCAGUGGGGAAUUUUGGACAAUGGGCGCAAGCCUGAUCCAGCAAUGCCGCGUGCAGGAUGAAGGCCUUCGGGUUGUAAACUGCUUUUGUACGGAACGAAAAGCCCCGGGUUAAUACCCUGGGGUCAUGACGGUACCGUAAGAAUAAGCACCGGCUAACUACGUGCCAGCCGCCGCGGUAA
rnacentral:rRNA from 1 species